rnacentral:rRNA from 1 species
UAUUGGACAAUGGGCGAAAGCCUGAUCCAGCAAUGCCGCGUGAGUGAUGAAGGCCCUAGGGUUGUAAAGCUCUUUUACCCGGGAAGAUAAUGACUGUACCGGGAGAAUAAGCCCCGGCUAACUCCGUGCCAGCAGCCGCGGUAAUACGGAGGGGGCUAGCGUUGUUCGGAAUUACUGGGCGUAAAGCGCACGUAGGCGGCUUUGUAAGUCAGAGGUGAAAGCCUGGAGCUCAACUCCAGAACUGCCUUUGAGACUGCAUCGCUUGAAUCCAGGAGAGGUCAGUGGAAUUCCGAGUGUAGAGGUGAAAUUUGUAGAUAUUCGGAAGAACACCAGUGGCGAAGGCGGCUGACUGGACUGGUAUGACGCUGAGUGCGAA